GUGAAUUAGAAACCGAGGAAGAACAAGACAAACGGUCAUCAGGGAUGCUUCUUGCGAAACCGCAAAAGUCGCGAAGAUUUUUUUUUCUUUUCUUGGCCUUUGGUUUCUCCCUCUCUCAUUUUCUCAAGUGACUUCUUGUAAACAGAUGAAGU
rnacentral:ribozyme from 16 species